CACUGUUGUCUUAACUUGUAUCAAAUAUUAUUAUUGAGAAGGAUGAUAAGGAGUGGCAAUCAAGUAAAGCUCACUCUUUCUUGCUGCAGUUAUUGCAGAGAGCUCAGUCAUGUCCACAUCCUCUGGCUUCUGACCAUCAGGACACAUUCUCCUUCCGGCACCAAAAGGAAGAUACUCAAAGUUAUUCCCCAAGAAAUCCACAGAGCUGCGCGCGAAUCUCUCAGAAAUUUUUGAAAAGUCCGUGCAACAUAGGAACUUGCAUCAAAUUUCAUUCACGAGAAGGAUAAUAAGGAGUGGCAAUCAAGUAGAUCUCGGUCUUUCUUGCUGCAGUUACUCCAGAAAGUUCAGUCAUGUCCACAUCCUUAGGCUUCAAACCAUGAGGACACAUUCUUCUUCCGGCACCAAAAGGAAGAUACUCAAAGUUAUUCCCCAUAAAAUCCACUGAGCUAUGGUCAAAUCUCUCAGCUAUUCCAGAAAACUCAUUCAUGUCCAUGUCUUCAAGCUUCACACAAUCAGGACACAUUCUCCUUCCGGAACCAAAAGGAAGAUACUCAAAGUUAUUCCCCAUAAAAUCCACAGAGCUCCCCUCGAAUCUCUCAGGGAUAAAGCUUUCUGCAUCUUCCCAAUACUUUGGGUCUCUCCCCAUC